rnacentral:rRNA from 1 species
UACGAAGGGGGCUAGCGUUGCUCGGAAUCACUGGGCGUAAAGGGUGUCGUAGGCGGGUCUUAAGUCAGGGGUGAAAUCCUGGAGCUCAACUCCAGAACUGCCUUUGAUACUGAGGAUCUUGAGUUCGGGAGAGGUGAGUGGAACUGCGAGUGUAGAGGUGAAAUUCGUAGAUAUUCGCAAGAACACCAGUGGCGAAGGCGGCUCACUGGCCCGAUACUGACGCUGAGGCACGAAAGCGUGGG